GAUGAACGCUAGCUACAGGCUUAACACAUGCAAGUCGAGGGGCAUCAGGAAGAAAGCUUGCUUUCUUUGCUGGCGACCGGCGCACGGGUGAGUAACACGUAUCCAACCUGCCCUUUACUCGGGGAUAGCCUUUCGAAAGAAAGAUUAAUACCCGAUGGCAUAAUGAUUCCGCAUGGUUUCAUUAUUAAAGGAUUCCGGUAAAGGAUGGGGAUGCGUUCCAUUAGGUUGUUGGUGAGGUAACGGCUCACCAAGCCUUCGAUGGAUAGGGGUUCUGAGAGGAAGGUCCCCCACAUUGGAACUGAGACACGGUCCAAACUCCUACGGGAGGCAGCAGUGAGGAAUAUUGGUCAAUGGGCGCUAGCCUGAACCAGCCAAGUAGCGUGAAGGAUGAAGGCUCUAUGGGUCGUAAACUUCUUUUAUAUAAGAAUAAAGUGCAGUAUGUAUGCUGUUUUGUAUGUAUUAUAUGAAUAAGGAUCGGCUAACUCCGUGCCAGCAGCCGCGGUAAUACGGAGGAUCCGAGCGUUAUCCGGAUUUAUUGGGUUUAAAGGGAGCGUAGGUGGACUGGUAAGUCAGUUGUGAAAGUUUGCGGCUCAACCGUAAAAUUGCAGUUGAUACUGUCAGUCUUGAGUACAGUAGAGGUGGGCGGAAUUCGUGGUGUAGCGGUGAAAUGCUUAGAUAUCACGAAGAACUCCGAUUGCGAAGGCAGCUCACUGGACUGCAACUGACACUGAUGCUCGAAAGUGUGGGUAUCAAACAGGAUUAGAUACCCUGGUAGUCCACACAGUAAACGAUGAAUACUCGCUGUUUGCGAUAUACAGUAAGCGGCCAAGCGAAAGCAUUAAGUAUUCCACCUGGGGAGUACGCCGGCAACGGUGAAACUCAAAGGAAUUGACGGGGGCCCGCACAAGCGGAGGAACAUGUGGUUUAAUUCGAUGAUACGCGAGGAACCUUACCCGGGCUUAAAUUGCAGUGGAAUGAUGUGGAAACAUGUCAGUGAGCAAUCACCGCUGUGAAGGUGCUGCAUGGUUGUCGUCAGCUCGUGCCGUGAGGUGUCGGCUUAAGUGCCAUAACGAGCGCAACCCUUAUCUUUAGUUACUAACAGGUCAUGCUGAGGACUCUAGAGAGACUGCCGUCGUAAGAUGUGAGGAAGGUGGGGAUGACGUCAAAUCAGCACGGCCCUUACGUCCGGGGCUACACACGUGUUACAAUGGGGGGUACAGAAGGCAGCUAGCGGGUGACCGUAUGCUAAUCCCAAAAUCCUCUCUCAGUUCGGACCGAAGUCUGCAACCCGACUUCGUGAAGCUGGAUUCGCUAGUAAUCGCGCAUCAGCCACGGCGCGGUGAAUACGUUCCCGGGCCU
rnacentral:rRNA from 1 species